UAAAAAGAAAGCAAAAACCACAUAUUAUACUAUGCUAAAACUCAACACAAAAAAAACACUGUUUAUUAACAGUGUUCUUCCUUUUGUGCACUUGCUUGGUUCUUUUAUUUCAUUUCUACCCGAUUUGCACGUUCAUCGCUUUUAGGAAGGAGACUCAAAAAGUCGGGUCUUUCCAUUGCUUCCCGUACGUUCCAUUUGCUUCCGUUACGUUCUUCUUCCUCCUCUCUUCACUUUUGUUCUUUGCUUUCUCUCUGCAACCUUAAAACUCUCAAGCCACAAGCCAACCAUAACCAAUCCGUCCUCAACUCUUCUUUCCUCUCACUUUUAUCUCCGUGACUCACUUAAUAGAAAGUGUCGUACGGCGACGAUUUUGACGAUUCCGGCAAUGGCCGACCUCGAGGUUGGUCUCAAACAGUUGCUCUUCACAUCAGGUAGCUUCUAGACCUAUUGCAGGUUUACGGAAGUGAAUCCAGAGGGGAAGGUGCCUGUGGUGAAGUUUGAUGACAAAUGGGUGGCAGAUUCUGAUGUCAUUGUUGGGAUCAUUGAGGAAAAGUACCCUGAGCCUUCUCUCAAAACUCCUCCUGAAUUUGCUUCUGUGUCAUGCUAUUCAGAAAGUGGUUUGAAGGGUUCCAAGAGCUUGAUUCACCUAAUUUCUCCUCUUUAUGUAAAAAUUCUUUCAAAAGGCUUAAACAUCUUCCGAUUCAAAUAACAUUAACUUUCUGCAACAAUCCUUUAUCCCUUUGAAUCAUAAUUUUUCAUACAGUUUCUAAUUCCGUAAAAACGUGCAAUGUGCGGGUACAGUUUCUAGUAUUUAACUAAAAUCUAUUGAAGAAAUAGUUGAUCAAUUGAUGUGGAUCCAAAUGGUCAGUUAAAGUAUUACUUACCCAAAUCCCCAAAACUCCCCAUUCCAAAAAAAUAUCCAAUUUGCCUACGAUUUUCUCAUCGCAAGCAGCCGUCCUAACCAUCAUAGCUUAGUUGUCGUCAACGGAAUAUGAGCUAUCAUGCUAUAGGAUUGCAGUUCUGCUAUUGGAAGGGUAGUUUGAAGGAUGUAUUAAAAAAGAGAAAAGGAUGGAUGUGAAAGAUAUAGAGACCUCACUUUUAUAGUGAAAAUAUAAAAAAUAAAAAAUAAAAAAAAAUAACAAUCCGACGGAUGAGAUUAAGAUAAGAAAAUUAAUCCAACAGAUGCAAAAAGUUGCAAUAUGGUUUAGGGUUGGUGGAGCUCCUUAAUGUGUUCUGAAGGUGGUGAUAUUGGAGAUGCUCUUAUGG